rnacentral:rRNA from 1 species
AGCGAACGCUGGCGGCAGGCCUAACACAUGCAAGUCGAACGAAGCCUUCGGGCUUAGUGGCGGACGGGUGAGUAACACGUGGGAACGUGCCCUUUGGUUCGGAACAACUCAGAGAAACUUGAGCUAAUACCGGAUGUGCCCUUCGGGGGAAAGAUUUAUCGCCAUUGGAGCGGCCCGCGUCUGAUUAGCUAGUUGGUGGGGUAAAGGCCCACCAAGGCGACGAUCAGUAGCUGGUCUGAGAGGAUGAUCAGCCACAUUGGGACUGAGACACGGCCCAAACUCCUACGGGAGGCAGCAGUGGGGAAUCUUGCGCAAUGGGCGAAAGCCUGACGCAGCCAUGCCGCGUGAAUGAUGAAGGUCUUAGGAUUGUAAAAUUCUUUCACCGGGGACGAUAAUGACGGUACCCGGAGAAGAAGCCCCGGCUAACUUCGUGCCAGCAGCCGCAGUAAGAC